UCCUCUCUCUACUACCACCUCCUCUCUCUCUACCACCUCCUCUCUCUACUACCACCUCCUCUCUCUACUACGUGAUUUAUAGGAGACCAUUUUCUUUGGACUGAAUGUUGGAUGAGUCUUCUCAAAAGCCCCCUGGAGAGGAGCGCUGGGAAUGGAUAAGAUACAUAUUUUUACAGCUCUGCCCUUGAUAAACAGUGGCCCAUUUGGUCAAAAGGCACAUUAGCGCUCACCUUAAAAAAGCCCAUAUGAGAGAGAGUGUCGUUGUUUUGUGGCAGAAUUAGGUGAGGGUUUUAUGUGUUGUUGGAGAGCUGCGUCUUGGGUUAGUUCAGCUCAGAAAAGGCCGGCCUUGUCAAUCUGCCGCUGUGGAGACGGAUGCCUCACGAGCGGGUCGUCUGUGGUGGUUUAUGUUUCAGUCUGAGGUAGAGACGGAUGCCUCAUGAGCGGGUCGUCUGUGGUGGUUUAUGUUUCAGUCUGAGGUAGAGACGGAUGCCUCAUGAGCGGGUCGUCUGUGGUGGUUUAUGUUUCAGUCUGAGGUAGAGACGGAUGCCUCAUGAGCGGGUCGUCUGUGGUGGUUUAUGUUUCAGUCUGAGGUAGAGACGGAUGCCUCAUGUCUGUGGUGGUUUGUUUCAGUCUGAGGUAGAGAUGGAUGCCUCAUGAGCGGGUCGUCUGUGGUGGUUUAUGUUUCAGUCUGAGGUGGUUUAUGUUUCAGUCUGAGGUGGUUUAUGUUUCAGUCUGUGGUGGUUUAUGUUUCAGUCUGAGGUGGUUUAUGUUUCAGUCUGAGGUGGUUUAUGUUUCAGUCUGAGGUGGUUUAUGUUUCAGUCUGAGGUGGUUUAUGUUUCAGUCUGAGGUGGUUUAUGUUUCAGUCUGA